GUGGGGAAUAUUGGGCAAUGGGCGCAAGCCUGACCCAGCAACGCCGCGUGAGGGAAGAAGGUUUUCGGAUUGUAAACCUCUGUCGCAGAUGACGAAGGAAGUGACGGUAAUCUGUGAGGAAGCCCCGGCUAACUACGUGCCAGCAGCCGCGGUAAUACGUAGGGGGCGAGCGUUGUCCGGAAUUACUGGGCGUAAAGGGAGCGUAGGCGGUCGAUUAAGUUGGAUGUGAAAUACCCGGGCUUAACUUGGGGGGUGCAUCCAAUACUGGUUGACUAGAGUACAGGAGAGGAAAGCGGAAUUCCUAGUGUAGCGGUGAAAUGCAUAGAUAUCCGGAGGAACACCAGUGGCGAAGGCGGCUUUCUGGACUGUAACUGACACUGAGGUACGAAAGCGUGGGGAGCAAACAGGAUUAGAAACCCCGGUAGUCC
rnacentral:rRNA from 1 species